rnacentral:lncRNA from 1 species
GGAGAAAAGGCAUCAGCACCUGAGAGUGCUGGGCCUCAGUCCUAUCCCAUGGUGCUCUGCUGGCUGAAGGAAAGACGCCUGUGGAAAAUCAUCAGAAGAUAGAGGCAGCAAGGACCUUCUGGAGCUCCAACCCUGCCCCACACUUGCAGACAGUUGUUGGAUUUGCCACUUGUAAGCAUCUGAGUCCCUAGGAGACCCAAUAAGAAAGCACGUAAUACAUUUUCACCCUGUUAGUUGGCUUUGACUCUGAAGUUUCAAGGGAUCAACCUUCUACCUCAAACUGUACACUCUUUGGCCUCAGACUUAUUAGCUAACUUCCUCUAAGAAGUGCUCACCUACAUUGGGCAUAGUAUCGCCACCCCUGCACUCUGGCCCAUCCAUCCUGUCCCAGCCUGCUUUUGCUCCUGAUGCCACAACUGCAGCCCCCUACCCUUAACCUCACUGGAGAACUCUGGAAAGAUGGUCCCAUGUGCAUCUCUGAAUAUAAAAGUAUGCAGGCGUGUGCAUCUAUGUGCAUAUGAGACUGUGCAUCUGCAUGCCUGCAUGUGUGCAUGUGCAUGCAAGUAUAUGCAUGACUGUGUGUGUGUUCUCGUGUAAUUCUCCAAAAAUGCAAACUGAUAACACUCCUUCCUUUCUCCCCUCCAUCCCUUGCCAUUUCCCUUCCUCCUCUCUCCUUCUAUCUUCCCCCCUCCUUUUCUUCUCUCCUUUUCUUCCUUUAAAGAAGAAUGGAAAAGGGCUGGAGAGAUGGUCUAGCAGUUAAUAGAACUUAUAAUGGAUGAGGUGUGGAUCCCAGAAGCUCCUGCAACAACCCACAUGUCCCCCAGACUCGAGUAACACCAGCUUCAAGGGAUUACACAUUCUCUUCUUAUAUCUGUGCGUGCCCAGGCACACACAUGAACAUACAACACACACACACAAACACACACACACACACACACACACACACACACACACACACACACACACACACACACACACACACCUUUUAAAGACAACGUGAAACUCCAUUUGCCAGUCUGGAAAACACACCCGACUCAUCACUUCCUUUCCCUCUCUGUCAUAAAGAACAGCUCUCCCCCUUCAUGUGAGUGUGAGGCAGAGCAGCUGGGAGUGACUCUGUCACUUAUGACAUAGGCUCCUCACAUCCCAAUCCCUCCAGGCACUUGCCUAGCCUUCCUUUGCUGGCCUCCCCCUAAGGGCAUCCACACCUCAGAGGGAAGCCCCAUGCCCCAGUUCCACUGGGGAUCAGGGGAACUCCCCACAUUAUGAAAACCUCCCCACGGGGACUGGCUGACACAUAUUUUACUUUUAAAUGUUUAAACUGAUUGAUUCUUCCUGACAACGUUUUCUUACAGGCUUUUCCCGCCUAAUGAAUUUGAGCCUUUGCGAGCGCCGUGUGAUUGACAGAGCCACAGACUGACAGCUUCAAGUUUCUAGGGUUUAUGGCAGCCUUUUUGGACCCACGCAGGUGAGCAGGCAAUGAGAAGAACGUUUCCAUUUCAGAGCAUGGCCUUGAUUGCUUGUCUGAGUCUCCCUAAAAAUCACUUAGACUUUCGUGCAUUCAACAAACAUGUCUUGACUCUCCAAGACUUGUACCCUGGGCAGUGCCAUGAUAUGCCAUGAAUCGAUUAUGCCCUUUGCCGUCAGGGAGCUCUGACUGGCAGGAUUGGAGAAGAGGGAGCUCCAGAGGACACAAGAUGCAACUGUCCCUGGGUUUGACUAUAAAAGAGGAGCUGCUAACCAGAUUAACCCUACAAAUGACAAAACCUUGAAGAGAGAAGAAUGGUAGACAGUGGGAGGCAUUGGCUCCCAUUUAUGGCUUGGCCUGGUUAGACUCCUCACUCAAGGACACACAUUCUGCUAUGGAUGAGGGAUCAGGUGUACAGAUGUGAUGCUGAGGCUGGAGGGCCACUGAGGUAAAACAUCAGGAGAGUGCAUGAAGUGUGUCAAACUGUUUGGGAUUUAUCUUACAGUCAGGAGAGCUGUUAAGCAUUCCCAAGGAAGAGGAUGACAAGCGA